ensembl:snoRNA SNORD58 Small nucleolar RNA SNORD58
CUGCAAUGAUGACUAUUCUUAGGACACCUUUGGAUUAACCAUGAAAACAAUGACAUUCUGAGCAGC